GGUGAUUAAUUAGCAAAACUUGAUUAGUUAGUGCUUAUAUCAUGGCUGAAGUGAAGCUGCUGGGAUCUUGGGGAAGCCCAUUUAGUAGGAGAGUGGAAGCAGCUCUGAAGCUAAAAAAUGUGGAGUAUGAAUUUGUUGAUGAGGACCUGCAGAGCAAGAGUGCUUUGCUUCUGAAAUCCAACCCAGUUCAUCAGAAGAUCCCUGUGCUCCUGCACAAUGACAGACCAAUAGCUGAGUCCCAGGUCAUUCUUGAGUACAUUGAUGAGACUUGGAAGGAGGGUUUUCCCAUUUUGCCUAAAGAUCCUUAUGAAAGAGCUCAGGCACGUUUCUGGGCUAGGUUCAUUGAUGAAAAGGUAAAAAUGUUUCACUUUAAUCUUUCCGUAUUAAUUAUAUAAAAAAAAGUUAUCUUCUUUAUUGUGCAUCUAAAUCAUUGAUGAUCAAGGUUAUUUUUAACAAAGUUGAUUAUAGCAUGAAUGUGUAGUUUACAUUAACAGCAUGUUUAACAUAAGCAUGUGCAUGGUGAUUUUGCAUUGAGCAUAUUAGCUAGAAAUUCUUUUGUGACUACCAGUGUAAAAUGUUUAUAUAACUAAAACUUCGAUCAUUGUUUGAUUAACUUGAAUUUUGUUUGAAAUGUGUACUUGUGCAGUCUGGAUCAAACAUAACAACACAUGUCUGACCCCACAUAAUAUGUUGGUAGUAUAGAAUGUAUAUGCUAUGGAGUAUGAAUUAUUGAUGAAGUUGGUUUUUGUAUGACAUAUGUAGUCUAGAUUAAUAAAAUUUAUAUCAUACCGUCGAGGUUUCUUAAAAAAAAAUGUGGUCUAGACUAACAACUUGAAAACAUAUGUCUGGUUACAUAAAAUCUGAAUUAGUGAUCAAGUUGAUUCUUAUAUGAUAUGUGUGGUCUCAGAUAAUAGUUAUACAUCAUUAGUUUGGCAAGUGAACAUUAUAUAGUCCAAUUUUCUGACAGCACUAAUUAAUUUUGCACACCAUAAUAUGCCUAAUAAGCUAAAUUCAUAUUUUGUUUGCUUAUUUUAGUGCUUGCCUGCAACAUGGAAAGCUCUCUGGGGCAGUGAGGAACCUGAGAAGGCUGUGGAAGAAGCCUGUGAGCUUCUGAAAAUAUUGGAAAAUGAGCUCAAAGACAAGAAGUUCUUCGCAGGAGAAACCGUUGGACUUGUGGACAUUGUUGCCAACUUCAUAGCCUUCUGGCUUAGAGCCAUUCAAGAACUUGUUGGAGUGGAGCUGUUGAGCAAAGAGAAGCUUCCCAAACUCUACAACUGGAGCGAUGAGUUUUGUAGUGUUUUUCAGGAAAAUCUGCCUCCCAAAGAUAGAUUAGUUGCUCACUUCCGUGGUCGCCUACAAAGCACCACCACCACUACUACUUCCAGCUAAUUAAAAGGGUUCAUAAAUCAGUCAUAAGAUGGUUUACUUCGAAGCAUUUCGUAGUUCAUGAUAUUUAUAAGAAUAAAUGCAGGAUUGCACUUGUGGCUAGAUCGCGUUCUCUUGUGCGUGCACGCUCGCGUAUGAUGCAUAUUUAUCUUGUUAGACGUGAUAUUACUAUGUACUCUAAGCUAGAUUGAGGGUUGGGCAGAGUUCGAACACCGAAGUGCAAUGAAUUGACGAAGAAUGUCUAAUCCACUUAGGUAAUCCAUCAUUUGCAAAGUACUUAGUUACUUAUAUAUUCUAUAUAGUGCCAUAUUUUUUUUUAAUGAAAUCUCUGAAAUAAAAGUUUUCCAACUAAUUAUCAUUGAAAUAUAUGAUUUACCAUUUACCCAUUUACAUAUAAUCAGAACAACGUUAACUAUAAUAUUUGCCUCCUACAGAAAAAUGUAAAAAAUACAUAGUAAAUCAGUAUAUAAUACGCGUAUGACAAAUGAAUUUUUCAAAAUAAUUCUAUUUUCCGUACAAGUUUCAAUAAUUCAUUAAAUUACACAUUUUAGAACCUUAACAUACAAUAUUCGUAUUAUACACGUACUUACAUACAUUUCAUGUUUAGUACACGUUAUUUUCACACAUCUUUCAGUGUCACACAUGUGAUGCCCCUAUCUCGACAUUCGUCCAUGAUCGACACGUGAUGUUAGAACAUACCAACAUCUAACUUACCUACCUUUCUCGAGACAUGACCAGAAAUAACGAACAGUUUUAUACCGUAGUAUCGUUUCCUAUUAUUUUAUAAGUGCAUCUAACCUUUGCGUUAGACUGUCUACGUACCCUGUCACAGGAUCAAGUCAUUCAUAGUUCACUCUUAGAUAAACUCUAACAUUUCUCAUGGCAUUCCUAACUAUAAAUAUAAAGUUAUAGUUAACUUUGAAUGUAAGUGAUGAAUCUAUAUGUCAUUCCAUCUUUCACAUACUUCAAAAAGAUUUCUAAUAACAAAACCAUAACCAAUAACAUUUCAAUGGAUCAACAAGGCAAAAAGUUUAAUAUUUACCCACAUUAAUCAAUCAAUACUAUCAAACAUCACUUCACUAAUCGUAACAAAGCCAACAUCUGUAAGGAUUGCCGUAAUUUUACACUAGUAUUAUAAGGAAACAACAUUGUAAUCUUAAAUUACAAAUACAAGUGUAACCUUGAGCAACAUCUACUCACAAGAAUCUAACGUUCCGGACCAACUCAACGCAACCAACUUGGGAAAAGGAUUAUGGACCAAGGGAUUCCAGACCAACUCAACUUAAUCCAGCUAUAGAAUGCGCAUUGACCCCCAAUGUGGAUUAACCAGGUGGAACCAUAGGCAUCCAUCCAAUAGGGUGGUUCCCCAAUACGGAUUAACCAAGCAGAACCACCUAUGGAUCUAAUGUGGUUAGGUAAACAAUGAUCCCUAAAUGCGGAUUAACCAUGCGGAAUCACCCCUAUAAUGCAUAUGGUUCCCCAAUGCAGAUUAGCCAGACAAAACCAUCUAUGGAAAUAAUGAAGCCAAGUAGGCAGUGACCCACAAAUGCGGAUUAACCAGGUAGAGUCACCCCUAGAAUGUGUAGGGUCCCCUAACGUGAAUUAACUAGGGGGACACUUAUAGAAGUAAUGAACCACGUAGGCAAUGACACCCAUUGCAGAUUAAUCAGGCAGAGUCACUCUUACAAUGCAUAUGGUCCCCCAAUACGAAUUAACCAGCGGGAUCAUCCAUGUACCACAUUGUUACAUGGUGCAAUCACAUUAUCACACAUCAUAAAUCCUAUUAUACAUUCAUUCAACAUGAAUCACAAUUGUAAGUACACACAUGCACUAUUGAAUCCACAUGAACAACAAUUAUCUAAUCACACAUAUGUACAAGUUCUACAUAAUACUUCUAAUAUGGCCACCAUCUUAUCUCCUCAUACUAGUAUUUGCACAAUAUCGUUACUGUCAUUUAGAAUUCAAUACACACAUAAAUUCUGGUUAGGUGUCACUUACAUGCAAUUCGAGGCACACAUCCUCCAAGCAGUGUUCUAAAAGUCGGCCUAAACGGCUGCCUAGGCGAUGGGUAGCAGGUUGCCGAUCCGAUUAAGCCCAAAUCGUUGUAUAAGUCGGAAAACUCAUUCGACAACGCCAUGCAAGAAUCUAGGCGGGAUAGGCGGAGUAGGCGGGGCUGGGCGGCUAGGAGAUCUGCCUGGGUAGUUGAUUUCUUAUGGAAAAAUAAUAGUAGCCACAAUGAAAAUUAUGAAGUUUGGUGACCACUGAGAAAAACUGGAGAAGAUAGAAGGUCAGAGCAACGAAUGAGAAAACGAUGAAUAGUUAAAAAUAAACUCGGCUUACGACGUCGUUUCCUUAUCGUUAUAUUAUAUUUAAUUCAAUUGGAUGCCAACAUAUUCCCAUUGUCCAAAGUUAAAUGGACUUGAAAAUUAAUGGACAUUUGACCCAAUCAACAUCGUCCAGUAUGAAUCUAGUAAUACAAAUGAUAAUGGGCUUUUUCAUUUCUAAUUUUUUAUUAGAGUAAGAAGACUUACAAUAAGUUUUUAAUAUAUUUGCUAUUUUUAAGUAUAAGAAUGUAAGUAUUCAUAUGUUUUAUGAUAAAUUUAAUUAAAAUAAAGGAACCACCCAACCCAACCCAACCCACUAGUACUUUUAUUAUGAACCACCCAACCCACUACGUGGGAUUUUUACUUUUUAAAAAAAAAAAUUAGAUAUAAUCAUUUAAAAUGUCUUAAGUUAUAUAGCAUAUAUGUUUAAUGUGUUUUUAAAUUUUGGACUUGUUAGAUACUCUUUUUGUAUUUUAUCAUUCUUUUAUUAUCUUAUUUAUAGAUUUUAUACAAGUAUAAUUUUUUAUGUGUCAAUAUGCACUUAUUUAUAAGAUAUACAAGAAAUUUACCUAAAUCUGCCUAGGCCGCCUAGACGCCCGCCUAAAUCCCGCCUAGGUGCUAGACGCCAGUCCGCCGCCUGACUAACGCUUAGCGUUUUUUUAGAACCUUGCCUCCAUGAUGGCUCAUUGAGCAAGAUACGUCCACUAAACUUUGUCAAGUCUCUAGUAAACUAAAUUUGAGUAAUUAAAGACGUUUUGGGAAAUUUGACCAAAAGUCAACCCUUGGUCAACGCGAUCAACGGUAAGGUCAACAACCAUAUGUAAUCUAAUCCGGUAGAUCCAUACAUCAGAAUUCGAUCCAUAAAUUUUUAAAUCCUCAAAUAUUAUGUAUAACCACAUGCUAUAAUUUCAUGACAAUCCAACGCCCAGAUUGUACGUUCAAUAACUAUAUUAAUCCAAUCGCAAGAUCCGUAUGUUAGAUUUCAUAUCCAUAAAUUCCUAAGGUCCUCAGAACAUACAAACAACAACACACUAUAAUUUCAGGACGAUCCAACGAGAUAUUUAUCCACUAAAAAGAUCAAGUGGUAGUAAAUUACGAAACUAGGUCCAAAUGAUCGAAUUGCGUCAAACGGGGGUAUCAAAAAUAGAUUCAAAGCAUGAAGGUGGUUUCCAUCGGGAUGACAAUGGAUCGUUGGAAACCCUAAAAUCGUUCAAACGCCGAUUUGACGUCACCGGGGCUCCCACAGCAUGAACCUUGAUUGGGUUUUGUUGGGGGUCAAGGUGAGUUGAAAACUAGUGAGGGUCAACGUCGGAAUGCACGGAGGACGAUGAUCGUCGGUCGGGAAACUUGGGGAUUCCAUGGUUUUGAUCUGCCACGAACAGCAGCCAAACGACGAAGACUUGGGGUGGAAAAUAAAGCUUGAGGAGCACUGAGUCGAUCUGCGGUGGCGUUGGUUUCAUCGUCGUCGGAAUUCGACGAGAUCGUCGUCAGAAAUUCACCUGGGAAGCAAGGCAUCGAGGGCUAGACAAUAGAGAAACGGGUCGUACAUACUCAGUUUUUAUUUCGGAACCCCCCUAAUAUGGGCUAGGUUGAGCUGCCAUAUAUGAGUGAAAUUACCAUUUUGCCCUUAAUUUUGGAAGCUCGUAGUUCAUUCCAACUCCGUUUUGUAUAUAGUUUUCAUCUACGUGCUCAUAGGAUGGAGCUCAAUCCAAAAACACUAAGAGUGGCCUAAAAAAGUCUACGAAAUUUUUAUUAAGAAAAAUCAAAUUUUAUAACUAAAUAACCAAAUUUCCAAAAUUAAAUGAAAUAUAAGAUUAAUUUUCCUAAAAAAUACGAAAUAUGAAUUAUUGAAUAGUGGAAUUCGGUAUUGGGAUUUCACAACACAUAUUGUGAACGUUUUUAAUUUAAUAUAUUAUUGAAGAAAUAAAAUAAUUAUUUAAUCUAUUAAAAUGUUAAAAAUGGUCAAAUAUUUUAAAGUAAUUUUUUAGAAAAGUUACCAAAUAAUGCACGUACUUAUUUUUCACGUACUAUACCCCGUUUCGUAUUUUACUAACUAUGAGAAGUGACAAAUUUUUUCUUAAUAUAUAUAUAUAUAUAUAAUGUAACAUCCCACAUCGUCCAGGGGAGUGAUCCUUAAAUGUAUAUUCUCAUCCCUACCUAGCACGAGGCCUUUUGGGAGCUCACUGGCUUCGAGUUCCGUAGGAACUCUGAAGUUAAGCGAGAAGGAUGCCAGAGCACUCCCAGGAUGGGUGACCCACUGGGAAGUUGCUCGUGAGUUCCCAAAAACAAAACCGUGAGGGAAUGGUAAGCCCAAAGCGGACAAUAUCGUGCUACGAGAAGGAUGCCAGAGCACUCCCAGGAUGGGUGACCCACUGGGAAGUUGCUCGUGAGUUCCCAAAAACAAAACCGUGAGGGAAUGGUAAGCCCAAAGCGGACAAUAUCGUGCUACGGUGGUGGAACGAGCCCGGGAAGUGGUCCCCCCCGGGGCCGGGAUGUGACAAAAUGGUAUCAGAGCCAAUCCCUGGCCGGAAAUGUGCCGACGAGGACGUCGGGCCCCUAAGAGGGGUGGAUUGUAACAUCCCACAUCGCCCAGGGGAGUGAUCCUUAAAUGUAUAUUUUCAUCCCUACCUAGCACAAGGCUUUUUGGGAGCUCACUGGCUUCGGGUUUCGUAUGAACUCUGAAGUUAAGCGAGAAGGAUGCCAGAGCACUCCCAGGAUGGGUGACCCACUGGGAAGUUGCUCGUGAGUUCCCAAAAACAAAACCGUGAGGGAAUGGUAAGCCCAAAGCGGACAAUAUCGUGCUACGGUGGUGGAACGGGCCCGGGAAGUAGUCCGCCCCGGAUCGGGAUGUGACAUAUAAUGCCUUGUUUCCUAUGAUGCCAUCGAAAACAAAGGUUUACUACCAUCUGUGACCAAAACUAUUAUCUUUUAAUAUCACCCAGUUGUAAUUAUUAAUAAGAUUAGUAGUCCUCUCUUUUUCGGGCGCUCUAUAAAACCUUCUAGUGAGGAGAUUAGUCCACGCGAGUCCUCUUUAAUCUCAUUAAAUUUAGUUCAUGCACGUAAUAAAUACAGGAUUAUACUAAUAAGUAAUCAAGUCCAGUCUAUUGAAAGUUAGUGAUGCCAAAAAAAUUACCCUAAGGGCCCGUUUGUUUGGCUUCUCUAAGUCUCACUGGACUGGAUUGGAGUAUAGUCCAGUGUUUGUUUGGAACACGGACUACUUUUAAUGGUACUACGAGGGACUCACCUCGACUAGCAACCUCCUUAGAUGGUCUUACAGAGACCCCCCGAAAACAACAGGACUGCUAAGACCGGCUUUGUUCGUCAGCUUCACUUGUCUUCUUCGUUUGUCUGCUUCGCUCGCCAACUUUCCCAACGGGUCUCAAAUCGCUGGGCUCCAGCUCGGAGAAGAGUCUGGGUUGGCUGGAUCUGGGGCCUUGGAAGAUGACGGUGGUUUGUUGUUUGAUACAGGAUCUGCUGCCAUGGUUGUCCAGUAAUUACCAAACUGCCUUCUCUCUCGCUCGUCGGAUAAUUGUCGACUUCCUCACCCGACUGAUUAGUAAUCGAAUUGAAGGUGAGGUGGGUUUUUUACCCGACUUCCUCACUCGUCGGAUACUUGUCGACUUCCUCACCCGACUUUCUGAGAAUGUGUGAAAAGAAUAGAAUUGCUGAUGAGAGAGAGAGAGAGAGAGAGAGAGAGAGAGAGAGAGAUUGAGAGGGAGAUGGACGGGAAAGUGGAGAGAUUUGGGGAAGGAGACGAGAAUUCUAGAAAAAGAAAAUGAAAAUGAAAAUAAAAGAAAAAAAAGUAUUAAAAAACAUAUAGAUUAAAUAGUAUAAUAUUAUAAUUUGAUAAUUUAUAAAAACAUAUUAAAAAAGAUAGGGAUUAAAUAAUAUAAUUUUAGAGUUUGUUAAUUAUUCUGCUUCUUAGUCCGAUACUGCACCAAACGCUUCACUAAGUUAGUCCAGUUUAGUCUAGUCUAAGCCAGUCCAGCUUAGUCCCUAAAACUAGUCCAGUCCGAGACAGUCCGGUGCAACAAACGCACCCUAAAAGGACUAAAUAGCCUAAAUGGGUACUACUGCCACUGCAUCUGACCGAGGAGAAGAUUUUGAACAUAUUAUCUGGUGAUCCAUCUGUUUUGAGACUUUAUGGCUUAUUGAGGCCUAACUUACCUUGUUGAAAAUAGAAUAAAGUCACUUUCAAGGCUUGGAAGCCCAACCUGAAUAGCAUUUUGAGGCCCAAUUGCCUAUUCGUUGCAAAUUGUUAGCAGUUUGUCGGUAUUUUGAUCUGGAGACUUCUAAUUGCAACCUAAAUCUAAUUAUCUAAUCAACAUACCUAGUACCUACCAUUUGAAGAGUUUUUUCUCUUUAUUUGUGAACUAGAGGUCUUAAGUUUGAUUCCUCUGAAUUUGAGUUCAACACGAUUAGAGUUAGCUCAUUAAGUAGCUCAUUUAGCUCAUCAAGUCUGCAAAGUGUAGAUUUCCAACAUCUGACAUAAUCCAAACAGACACCAAACACCGUACUCCGUAUUAUUAGUAUUAUCCGAUGUUUUAUACGGUGUGCCAAACAGGGCCUAAGUAGCUUAAAUAUCCACCCUCUAUAUUGUUGUUUAAAGAGAAAAGGGCAUUGCAUCAUUGACACUCAAAAUCUCAUUAUUAUAUACUACUCAUAAGUGUAUUUUACUUUUUGAAUAAUGAAGUUUGAAUUGUACAAUAAAGUUUUUGAAAGUAGCACCACCCAACAAAAAUAGUUUAAAACUUUAAGAUGUCUUGGUCACAAUAUAUUGAUUAUUGAGGCCCUUAACGAUAAGCAAUGACGAAACACAUCGAAAGCAGAAUUUAAAAUUUACAUAAGUUGGACUAAUUGAACCCAAAAGGAGAAUAAUAUAAUAUCAAUACAGCAGACAAGCUCAUUUGAAUGGACCUGGAUUGUCUGUCAUUCUCAUCCCCUCCUAUUUUUGUGGUCACGAUUAAGCCACGUUAACAUUUUAUAUUCCUAUAGUUUUUUGUUUUUUUAUUUUUAUAAAAAAAAUCAAUAUAAAAUAUUAACGUGACUUAACCGUGAUCACAUAAAUAAAAGAGGAUGAGAAUAAGAUGGGAUUGGGGAUGGUAGACAAUCCAAGUCUCGUUUGGAUAUGGUUUUCAAUGAAGAAUUAUCAAUAAAGCAGAUUUUCUAGAUCUUUCCUCAAUCAAAUCACCAUUAAUUUUAAAAUUAUUAUUGACUGCUGAACAUUGUGUAGGGUUGUCAUAGCGGCCAAAAACAGUUUUCCUACCGCUAUAAAACCCCAAAAGGAAGAUUAAACCAGUCAUAAUAUGCACACAAGAAGGAGAUUAAUUAGUGUUAAACUUGAUUAGUUAGUGCUUAUAGCAUGGCUGAAGAGGUGAAGCUGUUGGGGGUUUGGGGAAGCCCAUAUAGUAGGAGAGUGGAAAUAGCUCUGAAGCUGAAAAAUGUGGAGUAUGAAUUUGUUGAGGAGGACCUGCAGAGCAAGAGUGCUUUGCUUCUGAAAUCCAACCCAGUUCAUCAGAAGAUCCCUGUGCUCCUGCACAAUGGCAAACCAUUAGCUGAGUCCCAGGUCAUUCUCGAGUACAUUGAUGAGACCUGGAAGGAGGGUUUCCCCAUUUUGCC
rnacentral:lncRNA from 1 species